UUGAAGUCGGCUGUUUUUUCCCUCUCCUCCUGCUAGAAAAUCUGGGUACUGACUGUCCCGUUACUGACGCCACGAGGAGGACCUCCUUUCUUUGGCGCAACUGUGGUCCUUCUGGCUCGGGGAUAGUUGGGCCCCGCAAGCCGAAUUUCAUAGUUACCCAGGGUUCGGAGGGGAGGGAGCCGCCGCGUGGAAUGGCUUGAAAGCCGCGUCUAAGAGGCUGGGAAUUGUGUGUCAGGCUUUUCUCACUUUGUCUGCCUGUCCGUAGGCGCGUACAGGUGUUACCUGUUGGGCGUGUAAUGCAGUUCUUGGUGAAAUGUGUCCUGUAGGGCGCAGCACGCCUUUUAAGGCGCUGCUUUUCUACACUGGCUGCUCUCCCUGAGGAGCUUUCAGAGAAAACCAAUACUCGGCCCCGCCCCCAGAGAGUCUGGAAGCCUCCAGGGACUCCGGAAAGUCUAUGUGAACAAGAAAGUAUAAAAGAGACAAAUAAGCCUUUGGAUUUGGACAAGGCAAGGACAACAAAAGGAAAAAUAAACAAAUGGAACUAUGUGAAACUACAAAGCUUUUACACAGUGGGGGAAAUCCAUCAACAAAAUGAAAUGGCAGCCUACCAAAUGGGAGAAGAAAUUUGCAAAUG